UUUGAGUUACCAAAAAAAAAAAAAAAAAUGAGAGAUGGAAUCCAUGAGUGGAACCAAAGGUCUUCAUAAAGACAGCUCAACCACACCAGCAGAGACCCCCCCACCCCCAGAAUGGUUUGGUGUUCUCAGAGGAUCACCUGUCAUGCCCUGGAGGUGACAGGGAAAUGAGAAUCAGUCCUGGGUGAGGCCUCCAGCCUUUAUGGCUAUCCCAAGUUCAAGUGUCAAGCCAUGGGGGAAAGCCCAAGACCUGUCCAUGCUUCAUUCUGUCUCCAGAGUCUACGAUUCACUUAUUAAAUAUGAAACAAGUAGUGGCGUUUCUUCCAAGAGGGUUCUCCUGUUUUGGUUACCUAGUGGCCUAUGAAGUGCAGAUCCAUGGGCACCACCCACAUCAACUUGGUUCAUCAGAUCU
rnacentral:lncRNA from 1 species